CUUCUUUCCUUCCAUCCCUUUCUCUUCAGCUAGUUCUCUCUCUCUCUCACUCUCACUCAAAAUUCAAAAUUGAGUUGUCUCCCUUCCAUCCGUUUCUUCAAUAGCAGAUCGGCGACUUCGCAUUCGGUACAUAUGCCUUUGCUUGAAGGAGUGUUUGAUUAGCUCAUAAAAAGUUAUCAUGGCUUUGUUUGCUGCAAUGGUUGAUUAGGUUAGACAAUGAAUGGAAGUGUUGUGUGGGUCUAUUAGUGAAUGUUUCAAGAAAUGGAGAUCAAUGGUACAACGGCCCUUUUAACAAGUAUCGAUACUAGAAUGGCUAUUGAACGACUUUCAAAUCCUUAGGGCAACAAUUUUAUUUUUAAAAUUGUCUUAGUUAAUGUAAUUGAUGGCUUCUUACAUUAAUCAUCUUUGCAAUAACUCUUUGGUUUAGCCACAUUCAACCAUUAUAUGAAUGCGAUGAUUUUUGUUUGACAACUUAUUUGGGUAAGUUGGAUCAAAGAAUGGAUUUACUCGACUCAGGUUUGGAUGUAUAUUCUAUAUGCCUUUCAAGUUUAGAGUUUCACAAAGUGUAUGAGUGGUUGAAAGGAGAGUGCCUUUAGGCACGGAUGAAAAUAUUGUUGA